rnacentral:lncRNA from 1 species
GCUUGGUAGAGCUAUAGACUCUUGGGCCCAGCCCAGACCUCCUAAAUCAGAAGCUGCAUUUUGAUAAUAUUAAGGUUAGAGAAGCACAGCACUUGGAUGACUCUCAGGGCUAUGGUUUGGGUGACUUGAUGGAUGGUGGUGUCAUUUGCAAGAUAGGGCAGGGCUGAGAUAGGAUGAGUCAGAGGAACACUUCAUGGCCAGCACUGAAAUGAGAGUAUGACAUGGCAGGAAAGGCUUUCAUCUGAGCCGAGAACAAUAGCAAUGUGAAGCUUAGUGGAAUUACGAGUCUACAUUUUCACCUGGAAUGCUGAGAUAACAUGUGCAUCUGUCUUCACAUUCAUAGCAAUCACAUGGUGAAUGGUAUGGAUGCUCCCAUCCUUCACCAGCAGCCUUUGUUAAGAAUUUCAAGGGCAGCCCCGGUGGCGCAGCGGUUUAGCACCGCCUGAAGCCCGGGGUGUGAUCCUGGAGUCCCGGGAUCGAGUCCCACGUCAGGCUUCCUGCAUGGAGCCUGCUUCUCCCUCUGCCUGUGUCUCUGCCUCUCUCUCUCUGAAUAAAUAAAUCUUAAAAAAAAAAAAAAAAGAAUUUCAAGAAUAGCACUGGAAAUUGUUUUCUAUCUCAGCCACAGCUGCCUCUGAUGGAGAGUGGCCUGGCUAUUGUCUAAAUGAGGCCCAAGUGUGAAUGGUAAAGCCCAUGAUUAUGAAAGUCUUCAGGUUUUUGCAGAGCUCGGCCAAAGUGAAUGUCACAGAGCUUACUGUGAAAAUGAAGGGAAACCUCAUGGUGUCUGGAGGCCAGAAGGGGGAGCUCUCAUGCCGUACCAUUUGAGAUCAAUCACAGGAAAAAUUGUUAAUUACAGACCCCAAAGAGAAGAAUCCUCAACAGGAAAGAAUCACCAAUGACAGGCCCCAACAGGGCAAAAUGUACAUUGCAUCUCCUACAAGAAACCAACUACUUCAGCAACUUAGCCAUUGAGAAACCAUCAUUACCCUGAACUCUUCCUUUUUUCCGAUGGACUUUUGUUCAAAAUAGCCCUUCCCAAUUUCCUUCUUCUCCAUAAAAUAACAUUUCUCUCCUUUGCUUUUUAGACUUGCCUGAGGUUUUGCCAUAGGUUGUAUGUCCUGAAUUGCAAUUCUCUACUAUUCCAAGUAAACCCAUUUUGGGCUGGUAAAAU